GAAAAGUGCAGAGUGGCGCUGGAGCUACGGCACAGGCAGAGUAUUGGAAUGGACUUUAAAAAUGCAUGCUGUUUCAGCAGAGAAGGGCGAGGGUAGUUUAUAAAGAGCUCUGAAGAAAAGAAACCUGGACAGUCAGCCCAUUGACGGGGAUUAGGAAGCCUUGGCUGUAUGGGUGUUGCUCACUCAGUCAUGGUGACUGGAUUCCUGCUGCAAAGUUUGCAGAAAAAAAGUCUAGCAUUCCAGGGCAACAGGACUACUCAGGGAAACUGCUGAAGCUUCAGUGUACCACACUGGAGCAUCAAGAAGAGUGCAACUAGGAUGAAGAAUGGGGAGAAAAUGAAUAACGAUGAACUGCCACCAAAGCAGUGCCUUUGGAUUAAAUAGAGAAAACAGCAAUUGCUUAUUAGGAUGGCUCAUCAGAAGGGGGUCUGGUCAGAGGGUCAAGCCCUGGAAAACCGCAUAAUGAUAAACAAAGUGGUUUUAUUAGUCUACCAGGAAAUUCUCCCACAAAAAGAAGACUUACAGCUGAGAAUACAGCUAUAGUUGGAAUAAGUGGGAAACAAACAGAAGAAAAAGUGACAUCAGAAAGAGUUGGCAUGGGACUAAGAAAUGUGAGACAACACACUAUUAUAACAGGUAAGGAAGAAAAAAUAGUUGUAGGCCUAGGCAGAUAAACAAGUUAAAAGUCAAAGGGUGUGCUAUAAGUAUCAGAAGAGCACAGGAGACAACGUUUCAUCCGUCAAAUUGUGAAGCAUUUAGAAUAAAAAAGAGUGUAUUUAACUAACAGGUUUCAUAGUGCAAAGGUUG
rnacentral:lncRNA from 1 species